rnacentral:lncRNA from 1 species
GUGCCCGCGGUGCGUGCCGGAGGGAAUGGGUUGAACAGCGGCUUGUUUCCUUUAUUCUGGGCCCCUCAUCUCUCCCCUGCUGUGGCGAGAAGGGGAAAGGCUUUCUGGCCAUAGGCUGGAGAUAAGAGCCCGAGUGAAAGAGGAAGGCGAAGCCUCUGUCCUGCAGCGAUAGGCGACUGACACGUGUCAAGUUGGAGCGAUACUGUGCAGGGGAAGGAGCUCGAGUGAUGGCAUGAAAUGUUGGGAAACAGCUGCUGGUAGAAUAGUAUCAGCAGAAACUUUGUUUCCUGAGCAGGUACACUUACGCGGUUUGCCAACUUUUCUGACAGUUUUGCAGUUCUGAUAAAUUUCUCAAAUCCUUCCCGUUGUUUCUCGUCAGACGUCGGUGUUUGUUGCGUUUUACCUGUUCCGUCCCGUGUUCUUCCAGGAAGCUUUGUCAGGCAAGGGCUUCGUUUUCGUGGAGCUUAGCAAAAUGAGAUGCUGAUCCUUAAAUGGUAUUCUUGAGUAGAUCUGAGAAGCAAAUAACAGCGCUGAAUAUUAGAAGCAAUGUUUUGUGCAGGCAGAUGUGCAUGUAAACACAGGAUAUAUGUAGGAAAAAGCAGAAAGUUCUUCAGAUUAGGAGCAGCAAAGGAAAAUGUUUCCAUAAAAUUCAUACUUGAAGAAAUGAAGGGUAAGUCCAUCCACUACUUCUGUGACUUUCCAUAGGAGACAAAUACUGCAACUGUUGGGUAAUAUAUAAAAGUGUAGUGUCUUGUGUUCUCAUAUGCCCUUUUUUAGCUUUUAUGGUUGUUUUUUUUUGAAGGAAAACCAAAGGAGCGUGCUGAUGAGGAAGGUGGGCAGAAGUUACAGGCAAAGGAAGCUGUAUAAAGAUGAGGCUGUUUCAGAUCUGAAUGUAAAGGUUAUACUGUAAUGAAUGUAGAGAUAGUUUGUGAAUGUGGAGAGCUUCAUUGACAUUUAAUUCUUUCAGUUAUUUCAGUGUGGUUGCAAAACCCUUUGCAAGUUCAACAGCUUUGGGUCAGAGGAGGAAAGAAAAUAGGAUCAGCUGAAAUGAAAGCCUUUAACAAUAAGGGAGUGAAAUACUCACAAUGUCCAAUGGUUAAGAGAUAACUAUAGAUAUUUAAACUACUCUUUGUUACCCCUGAAGGAAACUGUGGUAGUUCUUGUGUGAUCUGCAGGUAUGACCAGGACAUAUUUGCACUCUUUUGUUACUGGCAGCUGCUUUGUUUGACUUUUCUUAAGGGAAGUAUUUAAUCUUGAAUCACCUUAAUUUACCGUAUUUAAAAGGCGUAAGGAGAU